GUAACAGCACGGCAGCACAUAUACUAAAAUUGGACUGUUACAGAGAAGAUUAACGUAUGGCCCCUGCGCAAGGAUGCGACGCAAAAUUGUAACAGGAAUUAAAAACUG